UGGGGAAUAUUGGACAAUGGGCGAAAGCCUGAUCCAGCCAUGCCGCGUGUGUGAAGAAGGUCUUCGGAUUGUAAAGCACUUUAAGUUGGGAGGAAGGGCAGUAAGCGAAUACCUUGCUGUUUUGACGUUACCGACAGAAUAAGCACCGGCUAACUCUGUGCCAGCAGCCGCGGUAAUACAGAGGGUGCAAGCGUUAAUCGGAAUUACUGGGCGUAAAGCGCGCGUAGGUGGUUCGUUAAGUUGAAUGUGAAAGCCCCGGGCUCAACCUGGGAACUGCAUCCAAAACUGGCGAGCUAAAGUAGGGCAGGGGGUGGUGGAGUUUCCUGUGUAGCGGUGAGAUGCAUAGAUAUAGGAAGGAAAACCAGUGGCGAAGGCGACCACCUGGGCUCAUACUGACACUGAGGUGCGAAAGCGUGGGGAGCAAACAGG
rnacentral:rRNA from 1 species